GCAAUUGGCUUUUCAGGGAGCAUCAGCUCUGGCUAUAAAAUGCAGUUGUUUUUUUCGUCAUGCUUUGUUUAAAGGUUUGAUUUUACAUUUCUAAAAGAAAGAUAUAUAGCAUUUUCCAAUUUUUUAAAGUUGUGUUAUAGACAACCUUGUGUGCCAGAGGACAAUAAUUUAGAAGAGUAUGUCAUCAGUCUGCUCAUAUGACCAUAGGCAGUGAUUUUUGUAAAUAUCCACACAUAUCUCAUUGAUACACUGUACAGUUUAUUGUCAUUACCCAAUGGUUUAUAACAGUAUUUAAUACACUUUGUAAUGGGUUUUGGCUCCACAGACACACGGACACAGGGCAAGGUCUUUAGGACAAAAGGUAAUUUAUUUGGAGAAAGGGGAAGGAAGGGAGGAAUGGAAGACAAGAAAAAAGGAACAAAGUGGUGAAGCUGUGCAUGUGGAGGCCCUCAGCCUAUAAAACACGUUUGUAUCAUUUGCAGGGAAACACCCAACCCAAAAAAAGAGGUUUUCUCGACACUGAGAAGGAUGAGUGGCUGUCUUCCAGGAGGUGAUGGUGGUCUCCCAGGAAGUGGUGGGAGUGGUGGUGGUGGUGGAGUUGGAGGACCCAAAUGCUGUGGAGGUGGCAGAUGUUGUGGCGGUGGUGGUGGAGCUGGUGGUGCUGGAGGACUUGGCG